GACGAACGUUGGCGGCGUGCUUAAUACAUGCAAGUCAACUGAAGCAGUGGUAGCAAUAUCGCUGUGGAGGUUGCGCACGGGUGAGUAACACGUAGGUAAUCUGCCUUCAGGUCUGGCAUAACUCCGGGAAACCGGGGCUAAUAGCAGAUGAUGCAGCGGCUCGACAUCGAGACAGUUGUUAAAGCUAUGGCGCCUGGAGAUGAGCCUGCGUCUGAUUAGGUAGUUGGCGGGGUAACGGCCCACCAAGGCUACGAUCAGUAGCUGGUGUGAGAGGAUGAUCGGCCACACUGGGACUGAGACACGGUCCAGACUCCUACAGAAGGCAGCGGGAAGGAGUAUUGCUGAAUGGUAGAAAUCCUGAGGCAGCAACAUGGCGUGAGGGACGGAGGGCUGUUGCGUGUAAACCUCUGUAGUGCGAGAUAAACUGCCAAGCUGUGGGACAUGAGGGUAUCUCAAAAGUAGGCCCCGGCUAACUACGU
rnacentral:rRNA from 1 species